rnacentral:tRNA from 1 species
AGCACACUAGCAAAAUGGUAUUGCGCCCCCCUCCAUCUGCACAGUCGCGCACUGUUCACAUGAAGGGGGAGGCUCGGGUUCGAUUCCCGAGUGUGCUA